AACGAACGCUGGCGGCAUGCCUAACACAUGCAAGUCGAACGAGACCUUCGGGUCUAGUGGCGCACGGGUGCGUAACGCGUGGGAACCUGCCUUUAGGUUCGGAAUAACUCAGAGAAAUUUGAGCUAAUACCGGAUGAUGUCUUCGGACCAAAGAUUUAUCGCCUUUAGAUGGGCCCGCGUUGGAUUAGCUAGUUGGUGGGGUAAAGGCCUACCAAGGCGACGAUCCAUAGCUGGUCUGAGAGGAUGAUCAGCAACACUGGGACUGAGACACGGCCCAGACUCCUACGGGAUGCAGCAGUGGGGAAUAUUGGACAAUGGGCGAAAGCCUGAUCCAGCAAUGCCGCGUGAGUGAUGAAGGCCUUAGAGUUGUAAAGCUCUUUUACCCGAGAUGAUAAUGACAGUAGCGGGAGAAUAAGCUCCGGCUAACUCCGUG
rnacentral:rRNA from 1 species